ACGAUCGGUAGCCGGACUGAGAGGUUGAACGGCCACAUUGGGACUGAGACACGGCCCAGACUCCUACGGGAGGCAGCAGUGGGGAAUAUUGCACAAUGGGGGAAACCCUGAUGCAGCGACGCCGCGUGGAGGAAGAAGGUCUUCGGAUUGUAAACUCCUGUUGUUGAGGAAGAUAAUGACGGUACUCAACAAGGAAGUGACGGCUAACUACGUGCCAGCAGCCGCGGUAAAACGUAGGUCACAAGCGUUGUCCGGAAUUACUGGGUGUAAAGGGAGCGCAGGCGGGAAGACAAGUUGGAAGUGAAAUCUAUGGGCUCAACCCAUAAACUGCUUUCAAAACUGUUUUUCUUGAGUAGUGCAGAGGUAGGCGGAAUUCCCGGUGUAGCGGUGGAAUGCGUAGAUAUCGGGAGGAACACCAGUGGCGAAGGCGGCCUACUGGGCACCAACUGACGCUGAGGCUCGAAAGUGUGGGUAGCAAACAGGAUUAGAUACCCUGGUAGUCCACACCGUAAACGAUGAUUACUAGGUGUUGGAGGAUUGACCCCUUCAGUGCCGCAGUUAACACAAUAAGUAAUCCACCUGGGGAGUACGACCGCAAGGUUGAAACUCAAAGGAAUUGACGGGGGCCCGCACAAGCAGUGGAGUAUGUGGUUUAAUUCGACGCAACGCGAAGAACCUUACCAAGUCUUGACAUCCU
rnacentral:rRNA from 1 species